rnacentral:rRNA from 1 species
CCUACGGGUGGCAGCAGUGAGGAAUAUUGGUCAAUGGGCGCGAGCCUGAACCAGCCAAGUAGCGUGAAGGAUGACUGCCCUACGGGUUGUAAACUUCUUUUAUCAAGGAAUAAAGUGAGGCACGUGUGCCUUUUUGUAUGUACUUUAUGAAUAAGGAUCGGCUAACUCCGUGCCAGCAGCCGCGGUAAUUCGGAGGAUCCGAGCGUUAUCCGGAUUUAUUGGGUUUAAAGGGUGCGCAGGCGGGUCUUUAAGGCGGCGGUAAAAUCGCGGGGCGCAACCCCGCCGAGCCGUUGGAACUGGGGGCCUUGAGUGGGGCGGAGGCAUGCGGAAUGCGCGGUGUAGCGGUGAAAUGCAUAGAUAUCGCGCAGAACCCCGAUUGCGAAGGCAGCAUGCCGGGCCGCCACUGACGCUGAGGCACGAAAGCGCGGGGAUCGAACAGGAUUAGAUACCCUAGUAGUC